CACCCGAUGACUGAAAGUAAGUCUAGGUCUUUUAAACCUAUAAUAGUAUGUUCACGCCUACUUCAGGUGA
rnacentral:tRNA from 1 species